rnacentral:lncRNA from 1 species
GAGCUUGAGCUUCCCUUCCCCGUGAAGGCUUUGAUAUGAUGUGAUUAAGUCCAGCUGGGUCAAAUUUGAUGUGCCUUGAGGCCAAAACCUCUGGGGGGGGGCAAUAUGGAUUGUCUCUGCUGCUGCAACUAUGGGAGGCCACUCUGCACUUUGAGCUUCUUCUCUAAUUGGUUUCCCACUGCCUGUGUUCAACGCUCUGAGCCUGGCACAGCUUUGCCCACAAGAGGCAUUGUACAAUCAGAUGUUAAAAUAUUUCAUUUGUUGAAUAAAGUGGAGGGCAGUUUAAACGUUGCUUGCUAAUGGAGACAAAUGACAGCUUCAUUCCCAUUGCUAUUGGCUGGAGGUAAUUACCACUGUUGUCACUGCUUUGGCACAGAUCACUGCCUGCAGAAGAAUCUAAUCUCCACUGUAAAAACAUGGAUAUCAGACACAAAUUAUUGCUUUUUGGCUCUGCUUAGAAGUUAUUUAAGGGUUGUAGCCAUGCUUUGUGCUUUCGCUGACUCAAACAAAAUACGGAUUCUGCAGACAGAAGGGCCACUCCGAGGAAGAACAGUGUCACCAGGCGAGUUUCUGGCUGUGUAACUGAUAUGAAUGAUCCACCAAGCAAGCAGGAAUAUACCAUGCAAAAUGGAAAAAAAAGCCAAUGAAAAUACAUGGAGACACAAGAAAUAAUGUUAUAAGUUCAAGGAACAACAAUGAUGAUGGACACCCUGGCCCACAAGACUCCCAAGGAUGGCCUGAAACAGGUUGAAAUGUAAUUGAGGGAAAAAAAAAAUAAAAAGCAACAUUGCACUCA